AGUCGAACGCUUUUUCUUUCACCGGAGCUUGCUCCACCGAAAGAAAAAGAGUGGCGAACGGGUGAGUAACACGUGGGUAACCUGCCCAUCAGAAGGGGAUAACACUUGGAAACAGGUGCUAAUACCGUAUAACACUAUUUUCCGCAUGGAAGAAAGUUGAAAGGCGCUUUUGCGUCACUGAUGGAUGGACCCGCGGUGCAUUAGCUAGUUGGUGAGGUAACGGCUCACCAAGGCCACGAUGCAUAGCCGACCUGAGAGGGUGAUCGGCCACACUGGGACUGAGACACGGCCCAGACUCCUACGGGAGGCAGCAGUAGGGAAUCUUCGGCAAUGGACGAAAGUCUGACCGAGCAACGCCGCGUGAGUGAAGAAGGUUUUCGGAUCGUAAAACUCUGUUGUUAGAGAAGAACAAGGAUGAGAGUAGAACGUUCAUCCCUUGACGGUAUCUAACCAGAAAGCCACGGCUAACUACGUGCCAGCAGCCGCGGUAAUACGUAGGUGGCAAGCGUUGUCCGGAUUUAUUGGGCGUAAAGCGAGCGCAGGCGGUUUCUUAAGUCUGAUGUGAAAGCCCCCGGCUCAACCGGGGAGGGUCAUUGGAAACUGGGAGACUUGAGUGCAGAAGAGGAGAGUGGAAUUCCAUGUGUAGCGGUGAAAUGCGUAGAUAUAUGGAGGAACACCAGUGGCGAAGGCGG
rnacentral:rRNA from 1 species